rnacentral:rRNA from 1 species
CAAUAGCGUAUAUUUAAGUUGUUGCAGUUAAAAAGCUCGUAGUUGGAUUUUGGGUCGGGGGCACCGGUCCGCCGUUCCGGUGUGCACUGGUGGCCCCUUCCUUUCUGCCGGGGACGUGCGUCGCACUUAAUUGGGUGGCGUUCGGAGUCGGCGUUGUUACUUUGAAAAAAUUAGAGUGUUCAAAGCAAGCCAUCGCUCUGAAUACAUUAGCAUGGAAUAACAUGAUAGGACUCCGGUCUUAUUUUGUUGGUUUCCGAGACUGGAGUAAUGAUUAAGAGGGACAGUCUGGGGCAUCCGUAUUUCAUUGUCAGAGGUGAAAUUCUUGGAUUUAUGAAAGACGAACUUCUGCGAAAGCAUUUGCCAAGGAUGUUUUCAUUAA